GCAUUGGUGGUUCAGUGGUAGAAUUCUUGCCUUCUACGUAGAAGACCCAGGGUUGUUUCCUGGUCAAUAUA
rnacentral:tRNA from 1 species